rnacentral:rRNA from 1 species
UACGGAGGGGGCAAGCGUUGUUCGGAAUUACUGGGCGUAAAGGGCUCGUAGGCGGCCAACUAAGUCAGACGUGAAAUCCCUCGGCUUAACCGGGGAACUGCAUCUGAUACUGGAUGGCUUGAGUUCGGGAGAGGGAUGCGGAAUUCCAGGUGUAGCGGUGAAAUGCGUAGAUAUCGUGAGGAAGACCAGUUGCGAAGGCGGAUCUCUGGGCAGUUCCUGACACUGAGGCACGAAGGCCAGGGGAGCAAACGGG